UACAGAGGUCUCAAGCGUUGUUCGGAUUCAUUGGGCGUAAAGGGUGCGUAGGCGGCGCGGUAAGUCGGGUGUGAAAUUUCGAGGCUUAACUUCGAAACUGCAUUCGAUACUGCCGUGCUUGAGGACUGGAGAGGAGACUGGAAUUUACGGUGUAGCGGUGAAAUGCGUAGAUAUCGUAAGGGAAGACCAGUGGCGAAGGCGGGUCUCGUGGA
rnacentral:rRNA from 1 species